AGUCAACCUAACUUAUGGACGGGGAUAACCUCGGGAAACUGAGAAUAAUACCCGAUAGGUCAUGAUGCCUGGAAUGGUUUAUGACUCAAAUAAUUUAUUGCCGUAGGAUGGGACUGCGAGCUAUCAGCUUGUUGGUGAGGUAAUGGCCCACCAAGGCUAUUACAGCUACGGGCUCUGAGAGGAGUAGCCCGGAGAUGGGUACUGAGACAAGGACCCAGGCCCUAUGGGGCGCAGCGGGCGAGAAAACUUUGCAAUGCGCGAAAGCUCGACAAGGUUAAUCUGAGUGGUUCCUGCUAAAGGAACCUUUUGUUAGUCGUAGAACCACUGAUGAAUAAGGGGUGGGCAAGUUCUGGUGUCAGCCGCCGCGGUAAAACCAGCACCUCAAGUGGUCAGGAUGAUUAUUGGGCCUAAAGCAUCCGUAGCCUGUUCUGUAAGUUUUCGGUUAAAUCUAUGCGCUCAACGUAUAGGCUGCCGAAAAUACUGCAGAACUAGGGAGUGGGAGAGGUAGACGGUACUCGGUAGGAAGGGGUAAAAUCCUUUGAUCUAUUGAUGACCACCUGUGGCGAAGGCGGUCUACCAGAACACGUUCGACGGUGAGGGAUGAAAGCUGGGGGAGCAAACCGGAUUAGAUACCCGGGUAGUCCCAGCUGUAAACGAUGCAAACUCGAUGAUGCGUUGGCUUAUUGCUAGCGCAGUGUCGCAGGGAAGCCGUUAAGUUUGCCGCCUGGGAAGUACGUACGCAAGUAUGAAACUUA
rnacentral:rRNA from 1 species